UCGCGGCUUAUCACCGGCAGUCCCCUUAGAGUGCCCAACUAAAUGAUGGCAACUAAAGACGAGGGUUGCGCUCGUUGCGGGACUUAACCCAACAUCUCACGACACGAGCUGACGACAACCAUGCACCACCUGUACGCAGCCCUUGCGGACCCGACAUCUCUGCCGGAUUUCUGCGUAUGUCAAGCCUUGGUAAGGUUCUUCGCGUUUCGUCGAAUUAAACCACAUGCUCCGCUGCUUGUGCGGGUCCCCGUCAAUUCCUUUGAGUUUUAGCCUUGCGGCCGUACUCCCCAGGCGAAUCACUUAACGCGUUAGCUACGACACUGAUCCAGCUAAGCCGAACCAACAUCUAGUGAUUAUCGUUUACGGCGUGGACUAC
rnacentral:misc_RNA from 1 species